rnacentral:rRNA from 1 species
AUUAACGCGAAGAACCUUACCAGGGCUUGACAUCCCGCGAAUCCCUUCGAAAGAAGGGAGUGCCCGCAAGGGAGCGCGGAGACAGGUGGUGCAUGGCUGUCGUCAGCUCGUGUCGUGAGAUGUUGGGUUAAGUCCCGCAACGAGCGCAACCCUCACCUCUUGUUGCCACCAGGUCAUGCUGGGCACUCUAGAGGAACUGCCCCGGUCAACGGGGAGGAAGGCGGGGAUGACGUCAAGUCAUCAUGCCCCUUACGUCCUGGGCUACACACGUGCUACAAUGGCCGGUACAAAGGGAUGCCACACCGCGAGGUAGAGCUAAACCCAAAAAGCCGGUCUAAGUUCAGAUUGGAGUCUGCAACUCGACUCCAUGAAGGAGGAAUCGCUAGUAAUCGCGUAUCAGCACGUCGCGGUGAAUACGUUCCCGGGUCUUGUACACACCGAAU